GACAGAGGGUGCAAACGUUGCUCGGAAUCACUGGGCGUAAAGGGCGUGUAGGCGGGAAGGAAAGUCAGAUGUGAAAUCCCUGGGCUCAACCCAGGAACUGCAUUUGAAACUCCCUUUCUUGAGUGUCGGAGAGGAAAGUGGAAUUCCUGGUGUAGAGGUGAAAUUCGUAGAUAUCAGGAGGAACACCGGUGGCGAAGGCGGCUUUCUGGACGACA
rnacentral:rRNA from 1 species